AAACCUCACAGGCGGGCAUGUGGAGCGGGAGGCGGGGGUGGGGUGAGGCCUCCAGACCCCAUGGAAGAUUGAAAUGUCAUCUGUCUCGUUUUCAAAGGAAGCUCAGCGGGCUCCAUCCCCGCCUUGCAAGAAGAUGACUUUUCUGCCAGAUGGGAGGGGACGCCCACCUCCGCCACGCCAGCUUCUGUCUUCCUCCCGGUGACGGCACCACAGCUCCCCCGACACCGCGUACAUUCCUGAAGUGGUGCCCCCACGAUGCCUCGGAAAGUAACCAUGGCUGCCCUCAUGGCAGCUCACCUGUUUUGGGGUAUUUUAUUCGCAUCUGCAGAGUAGAGAGGAACAUUCCAGAAUGUGAAGACUUCAGAACGUGGACCCUGGGUUCUGGAGAGAAGGUGGCCUGACUUUUAGCUGGGAGCUGGGGGGAUACACCCACAACUCAGUGGGAGGACCCCCAGCCGCUCUGGAGACCUGGCUUUCCAGUAGGUCUGCAUAGCUCUGAAUUGAUUUUGGAAGAAACUGCCCUGAACUGUUUUUCUCACUGC
rnacentral:lncRNA from 1 species